rnacentral:lncRNA from 1 species
AUGCGAUUGCAGCCAUUCGUUUUUGAACUGCAGACAUGGGACUGGAACCACACAACGACACUGUUCCUAUUAGUUCCCUUGAGUCAUCCAUAUCCUGCAAAGAGCCUCAAUCCCUUGCGUGAUGAUGAGAAAAGGUCGAAAGGUCUCCUUCUACAGAUCUGGGAGCCAGUUGCUUUCCUGAGGCACUUCAAGUACAGACCAAGAGAAAAGUCUACCAAGGAAAGGGAGACGAACAAGCUGAGGACACCGAAGAAUCUUGUUGGGAUCUGCAGAUAGCAAGAAGAAUCUUUAAUAAAUAAGACUCCCAUUAAAAAUAACUUCAUGGGUUUUAAAAAGUCAUUUUCAAAUGAACAGGCACUAAAACUUCUGAUUUGGGACAGAAGACUGAAAAUACAAUUUUUUUCAUUGUCUUUUUGUCACUAAAUACAUAGGAUUUUGUGUAGCUCCUCUUUUAUUUGUUCAUGUAAACCCAGUUGAUUCACGGGGUAUUUUGUUUUUCUAAGGCAUAAUUCUUUUAAGUCCACUUAUUUCUUCCUAUGCCUACUGAUAUGGUCUGGCUGUGUCCCCACCCAAACCUCAUCUGGAAUUAUAGUUCCCAUAAUCCCCACGACCGAUAUGGUCUGGCUGUGUCCCCACCCAAAUCUCAUCUGGAAUUAUAGUUCCCAUAAUCCCCACGUGUCAUGGGAAGGACCAGGUAGAGAAAACUGAAUCAUGGGGGCAGUUUCCCCCAUCCUGUUCUCACUCUCAUGAGUGAGUUCUCACGAGAGCUGAUGGUUUUAUCAGGGACUUCCCUUCUCUGAGCACCCAUUCUUCUCCUUGCUGCGCCAUGUGAAGAAGGAAGUGUUUGCUUCCCCUUCUAAGUUUCCUGAGGCCUCCCUAGUCCUGCAUAACUGUGAGUCAAUUAAGCCUCCUUCCUUUAUAAAUUACUCAGUCUCGGAUAUGUCCUUACAGCAGCAUGAGAACAGACUAAUACACCUACUUUUCAUAUUUAGUAUUUUGUGCUACCAUAUCUAUAAAAAAUUGGGUUAUUAAUAUAUACAAUUCUGAAAGUGCUGUUAGUAUGAGCAGAUCUCAAUGUGGACAUUCAGGUUAAAUGAUCUUCAAUCGUCACUCCAGCCAGAGAGAACACAGGAAGAUGCUGGGCUUAGGUCUUGACUUCUAUAUGCUUGUACAUUCUGCCAGAAAAGAAACAGAAAAGGAAAAUGGAAAUUGCAUGUAUAUGGGGCCAUGCCUGGUUUGGUGAUCUUGGCUAUCUUUUCUGCACAUGGCCUCGCUAGCCUUCAAUCUCAAUCUCUCUCUCUCCCUUCU